GCCAAGCGGUAAGGCAACGGCUUUUGAUGCCGUCAUUCCCUGGUUCGAAUCCAGUAGACCUGCCA
rnacentral:tRNA from 1 species